rnacentral:rRNA from 1 species
UAAGGAAUAUUGGUCAAUGGACGCAAGUCUGAACCAGCCAUGCCGCGUGGAGGAUGAAGGUCCUCUGGAUUGUAAACUUCUUUUAUCUGGGACGAAAAAAGGGUUUUCUAACUCGUCUGACGGUACCAGAUGAAUAAGCACCGGCUAACUCCGUGCCAGCAGCCGCGGUAAUACGGAGGGUGCAAGCGUUAUCCGGAUUCACUGGGUUUAAAGGGUGCGUAGGCGGGCAAUUAAGUCCGUGGUGAAAUACCUGAGCUUAACUUGGGAACUGCCAUGGAUACUAUUUGUCUUGAAUGUCGUGGAGGUUAGCGGAAUAUGUCAUGUAGCGGUGAAAUGCUUAGAUAUGACAUAGAACACCUAUUGCGAAGGCAGCUAACUACGCGAAUAUUGACGCUGAGGCACGAAAGCGUGGGGAUCAAA